rnacentral:rRNA from 1 species
UGGGGAAUAUUGCACAAUGGAGGGAACUCUGAUGCAGCGACGCCGCGUGAACGAAGAAGGCUUUCGAGUCGUAAAGUUCUUUUAUAUGGGAAGAUAAUGACGGUACCAUAAGAAAAAGCCCCGGCUAACUACGUGCCAGCAGCCGCGGUAAUACGUAGGGGGCUAGCGUUGUCCGGAAUCACUGGGCGUAAAGGGUUCGCAGGCGGAAAUGCAAGUCAGGUGUAAAAGGCAGUAGCUUAACUACUGUAAGCAUUUGAAACUGCAUAUCUUGAGAAGAGUAGAGGUAAGUGGAAUUUUUAGUGUAGCGGUGAAAUGCGUAGAUAUCAGGAGGAAUACCGGUGGCGAAGGCGACUUACUGGACUUAAACUGACGCUCAGGCACGAAAGCGUGGGGAGCAAACAGG